UACGUAGGUGGCAAGCGAUACUCGGAAUCACUAGGCGUAAAGCGCAGGUAGGCGGUUCGGUAAGUCUUUUGCGAAAGCUCCCGGCUCAACUGGGAGAGGCCAAGGGAAACUGCCGGGCUAGAGUGUGGUAGGGGAUACUGGAAUUCCUGGUGUAGCGGUGAAAUGCGUAGAUAUCAGGAGGAAUACCUAUGGCGAAAGCAGGUAUCUGGGCCAUCACUGACGCUGAGCUGCGAAAGCUAGGGGAGCAAACAGG
rnacentral:rRNA from 1 species